UACAGAGGUCUCAACCGUUGUUCGGAUUCAUUGGGCGUAAAGGGUGCGUAGGCGGGCUGCCAAGUUUGGGGUGAAAUCCUCCGGCUCAACCGGGGAAGUGCCUUGAAUACUGGCGGUCUCGAGGGAGGUAGGGGCGUGCGGAACUAACGGUGGAGCGGUGAAAUGCGUUGAUAUCGUUAGGAACUCCGGUGGCGAAGGCGGCACGCUGGACCUCUUCUGACGCUGAGGCACGAAAGCCAGGGGAGCGAACGGG
rnacentral:rRNA from 1 species